GCCCCCUUAGCUCAGCUGGCCAGAGCAUCUGUCUUGUAAACAGAGGGUCGCCGGUUCGAAUCCGGCAGGGGGCUCAA
rnacentral:tRNA from 1 species